rnacentral:rRNA from 1 species
UCAAGAGGCCAAAAUAUCUUGAAGGCACUAGAUCCUAUCUGAUCUUAGAAGCAUAGCAAGAAUAGUUGGUUAGCACUUGGAUGGGAGACUACUAAAGAAUAUCAGGUGUUGUUGGCA